ACACAGCUGAUGUGAGAUGGAGACACGGUGCCAAAUGGCCCUGGAGGCUGCAGGUUGUGGGUGUGAUACAGAGCCGUGGGAGGAGAACCGGGCCAGUAGGAGAAACCAGACGGACCCACACCUGGACCCACGAGGUUCAGCUUAGAAAUCCCUGCGAAAGGAAUCGACUCCAGUGGACUGUGUGGAGCUGGAUGGGCUUUAUUGACCUGCUAUAGUCUGGUUUGGACUGUAUGAGACAAGCUGAACAUAUAUAGCUGUCACCAAGUGUUACCAUUAUUAUAUAUAUUGUUAUUAUUAUCAU